UUCCCAGCAGCCGAUUUGGCCUCAGGAGGUACUUGUGACCCUUUCCCCUCCAGCCCCUGCAUGCUAGACUAGUCCAUUCAUACUGCAUCUAACCAGCUGGGUUGAAAGUCCCACUGCAAAAUCCUUGCAAGCAACAAUGUCAAUAAACCAUUACAUCUCUCAGUAAAAGCCUUACCUGGAGAAUGCAGUGAGUAUAGCAUCAGGAGAGGGAAAACAUCCUGCACAGUUGGUCAGAACUGCUUCCUGCUGAUAGCAGCCAGUGACCAGUUGCUUCUAGUUCUGUUGCGUUAUAAAUGUCCGUUCAUUAAUUAUGGGGUUUCUUGCUUCAUAAAUGACAGUCUUUGUAAGUUCAGGUUGUGCCGCGGCAGGCAUGAGUCGCCGUUUGCCUCAGCAUGAUGUGGGAGACAUCCUGCAAUUUAGGAAGAAGGUAGGAUGAACUCAGGCCUGGCUUGUCUUAGCUGCAAAGUGGUGUUGAGGUAGGGAAGCAGGAAAUGGCCUCAUUUGGGGGAUUUCUUCUGCCUCCCAUCACUAAAAUUGUCCCUUAAAUUUGUAGCAGUUGUAUGACUCAAAAGGCUAGGAGCUUCCUCAGAAACUGUUCUAAGAGACUUCACUCAUCCUUUUAUCUAAGCCUUGUAGCCAUUAAGUGAAAUCAGAAUGUGUUUUGGACAUCAAGAAGCGAUGGUUUAUAGACAAAACAUUUUAAAUCAGUGGCCCAGCGCUCCAAGCAGACUCAGUAUGUACAAUUUUCCAUAGAGACCAUUUUGCACUCAGGCCCAAGGCAGCCAUCACACUUCUUUGAUUGGCUGCUUUAGGAAAACCUUGAUAGGAACUUGGUUAUUUAUCAGCUGGUCAAAGCGGUUCCUGCUGGGAGUACAAGCACCAGAACUGCGCACAUCUGAAGCCAGUGACUCGUGCUCUGUGGCCUUCACAGAUGAGAACUGACCAUGGCCUGCACGCCAGGUUUCCUUCUGAUUAAACCCUGUAGUUCAAUAGGUGACAGAGGAGUUUCCAGGCAUUAUUAAUUUUUAAUGCAACUUUCUCUGAAAGCGUGUGUAUGUUUGUGUGUAUGUAUGCUUGCGUAUGCAUGUAGUGUUACUUACUAGUUCAAUUUCGCACUCCACUUGUGGCCUCAUUCACCCUUUAAAGGGUUCAAUAUGCUGAUUAAAACAUGAAAAAGUAAUAUCUAAAGAGCAGAAAAUAAAUGAAAGUAGGCAGUGAUAUUUUCACAGCCUUGUCUAAUAUAAUAUGCUGAGUUUUGCACAAAGUGGGAUCGCACUGAAAUUAACGCUCCAACUCCCCAGAGUUUUCAAGUGAUCGGAAGCACAACUCAUCUGCACGUGUGAAAGAAACCUUUCACUUCUAAGUGUUAAUGUAACUCAUUAGCACUUAUUUGCGAGGAUUUGGCCCAGGCUGUGCUUGUGUUUUCUGUGAAUAUGGGGCGAUAAAGGUAAGGGGGGGAGCACUGUAGCUCAGUGCUGGUUUUAGGUUAAUAGGCUGAAGUUCUGUAAGAUACCAUUUAAAGAAAUCCCCAAGUAAGUACAAAAGGAAUUGAACGUGUCCCAUGUAGUGCUUUAAAAACAGCUUUAUUUCACACAGCUGCGUACUUAUUAAAAAGAGAUCACCCAAAGCCUCUAUAAUUAAAGCAUUACAUGCAGUUUAAUACUGCAGUAACCCCACAGAAAUCGGCAUUAGCAGCUGCUGAUGUGUUUGGCGUUGUUCUAUAAUUGAGUUCACGUUCUUCAUUUGUAUUUAUAAUGUGUUGCUAAAUUUGCGCAGCGCUUUAUGUACUGCUCGGCUUUUCUUCUGCGGUUCCGUUAGCGUUUAUUUGACGGCCUGGGAGCGAUGCUGAGCACCCUGCCCUGAGUCAGCCGCUUCUCCCUCCUGUGCUGGCUGCGCUGCCCGAACCAGCAGCGGGUUGCGAUGGACCACGGUGCUGUCGUCUUCCUACAGCCUGCAAAGAAGAUAAUUACCAUUUCUGUAAAAGUCGUGGUUGUGAGUUAUUUUUCUUCAGACGUGUGAUGGAGUUGGGCAGCUGUCUAAUUCCGUCAGCAAGGAAUUAUGAGCCCUGGCAGCUUGGGGGCAGCAUACCUAGGUAUGUAUUCAAGUGUCAAAGGAGUAAAAAUAAAUACGAAUCUGAUUCUUAAAACCACCACAAACAAAAAAACCCUUCCUCUUCCACAUAAAAUGUGUGUAAAAUGGGUUAGGACUGGCAGUGGACCAAAAACACAAGCUGCUGAUACAUUUUUCUUCAUGCAAGUGCUUUAUUUCACAACCACGCUUUGAUUUGAAGUGUUUAAUACCCAUUUGUGUCCAUUUUUAUGCAUACAUAACUGUAAAAAGCGUUUCUGAAUCAGGAUUGAAUAUUCAUGAGAAAUGGCUUGUCAGUCAUCCAGCUGACUUCAAAAUUAACUCUUUGCCAUUUUCCAGCAGUUAAGGGGUAUAGAUCAUUUGAUACCAUUUCUGUUUCCAGACCUAAAUGGUCCAUUCACCCAACUGAAACAACUUUUACAGCAAAAUGCAGCAAUCUCAGAUGGCUACAGAAAAUUCACAGGGAGAAAAAUAGGAAAGGUCUUGGAAUAAGCACAGAACGGAGUGCUUAGCUAAGCUGCAGCUCUGUUCUGCUCCUGUAAUCCAUUUGAAUUCACUGAAAUGGCUCGGGUGGAGCUGAGAUCAGAAUUCAGCUGCCAUUCUUUGUGUAAACUCUUGAGUGAAUGCUUUGAAGUGUCAAAAGUCCCAUGGGCCUUUACUGAUCACUGGAAUUCUGAUACUUCUCUACCACCUCUGGUGUAUGGGCAUGACGUAGUUUAAUGUGAGCUAAAGCUUUUUUGCUUUUUAAAUGUUAAAUGAAAUUUCUUUUCAAGGUUGAGGGGCAGUAGUUCUGCUUACAGAGAAACUGUUAUGAUGAAGCUUGGAUACGCUUUUACCUCAAGCAAGGGCAGAAAGGCAACCUGGUUUGUUGUGUUGGCUCAGGAUCAGUUUCGAAAGCUGAUUGUGCCGGUGAGCUGACUCUUAACUCCACUCAGGAUUGUCUGCUUGUCGUCUCAUACCAGUGCAUAAAUGAUUUGAAGGAGUUAAGUAGUUGCCUUAGUCCUCUCUAUUUGGUGAGCUGUGUAUUUGGUGAGGCAUGGUUAGACAUUUAUUUCUUCACUUGCUGAAUGCAUUUUGGACAGGAUAGGAAGGAUGUGCCUUUGAAUUCUGUAUUUGGUAUUUGGGAAUGCUUACAAGGAAAUGAGACAUCAAGUGGAGAGAUGUAAAAUUAGUGUGAUGGAUUAGAUUAGAGUGGCCAUUCAGAGAUGGCCAUGCAAGCUAUCACUUACGGAGCCUUAUUCUGUAACUGCAGUCACAUUACAUGUCACGUGGAUUUGGGCACAAGGUUUUUACACACGGUUUCACGGUUCACUUAGAAGGUAUUUAGUAAUGCUGAUGUUUAGUCUCCUAGGUUAGGUACUCGAUCAUCAGCGGUGCAGCUGUGCACAUUACAAAAGUGUAAGUGUGUGAUAUGACACAGAAACUUAUUCAUGGCCCAGAGCAGAUACUGCAAUGGUGAGGCAAAGUCCCCAGGGGAAAUGGUGAUACUUACCAAGGGCAAGAUUGCAGUCCUACUCUGCAGUAUCUAGACUAUCCACUAAGCAUUGAUUUACUUCCUGUUUCAUAAGCUAACGUUCUCUGCAAUGGGAUGAAGUGUCAGCUAAAAAUAAUAAUAAUAAAUGUAGUUGAAAAUUGUAAUCAAGGUGUCAUCAUGUAUAUCCAUCCACAGGGUUAACGACAGCUGCACAGCCAACACCACUACCAAAUGAUCAGUGGUGAUUUUUUGAAGUCAUUUUACUUGUGUGCUACAUGUAAUUUUUAUUUUCACAUGCUCUAUUAUAGCACAUAAAUAGUGACUACUCCUCUUUUAAGUUGCAAAAUGUUUUCUCUUGUGGUCUAUUUUUCACAAAUACCCCAUUCUUCUCAAAGCAUUUACCUCGUCGCAGAAAAUACCCAGUAUUUUUGUCUUGUCAAAUGUUACCACUUUGUAUUUCUUCUGUGUUUAUUAUAAAUUGUGUUGACAUCUGUUUGUAAAUUACAGGGCUGUGGGAAAAAAUAGAUGUCUGGCACUGACUUAUCCCAAAGCGAAGUUGGUUGGUUGGUUUUCUUGAGUAGGGGAUUGAGAGAGAAUUCCAGUUUCAAAGGAAAAAGUGGAUUGAGCUAUCAGCUUUGCAAUUGUUGGUACGGUUUGGUGUCAGAGGGAGAAAGACAGAGCUGCUCAAGCUGCUCAGAGUAAUUAUUCUAGUUUGACAGGUUGGCUGCACCAAAAAUCUGGAUCCUAAGCACUGCAGUAAGUUUUCAUUGGUGAAACCUGCACAUUCAAGGAAAAAAAACUUACCAGGCACUUCCAUGAGGUUUUUGACAUAGCAAUAAGAUUAAUUUACCCUGUCCAUUUGUUGUGAAGGAAGAGCCCUGUGACCAUGUCAUGUUCAUGGUCCUUACAUUUAAAAAUAAAAGGAAUAUUGGAUGUGCUCAUGUUAUACCCCUCUCCAGCAGAAGCAUGUUAAACCAGAAAGAGCAAAUCCUGCUCCAGCACAGUAAAACCAGUCUAAAUGUGCUGCUUAACAAGUGAAGGUGGGUUCCAUUCUGUUCGAGCAGAGCUAAACCAUCCUAGUUCAAACAGUAUCUCCUGCAAAGUAGUACUGUUGAACAUCGGAAAAUCUAAUUACUGACUCAAAAAAAAAAA